GGGAAAGUUCAGCGUUUGGCAAACUCAACUCAGGAUUUGCCAAAUUACACGCGGAAAAUAUUGUGGAAAUUGCACAUCUAUAAUUCCGAGUUGAAAUUCCAUGGUAAUAGGAGGAAUUGUACAAUUCCCAACAGAGAGGGAAUUUUCAUAUUCUGCCUGCGAUAACCUAGCUUCAACCCGCCAAAAUUUUCAUCUUCUGCCCGCCAAAAUUUUCAUCUUCUGCCUGCCAAAAUUUCAGGAAUAACCUAUCUUCUUCAAAGAGAACAAGGCUGCGCGCCAUGGGUAUUCUCUUGAUGGUGUUCUGCUAAGUUUUCUGGUAAGAAAGACAGAGUGUAGAGACAUAUACAUACGCAAGGUCAAACUUUCUCACCUCCAUUCACCAAACGCCUUUCUUCCUCAAGCGCCUAGGACUUUUCGGUAGAACCAGGAACAAGGUAGAGGUCUACCUGUGGAAAAUCAGUCUAAAGCAGAAACCCAAGGGAGAAAAUCCUAACUUGAAGGGCCAACAUAAAUUGGUCUUGAGAUCAAACCUAGAUCUGGGAGGAAUCAUACCCUGUUAAAAAAGUAAUAAAUUAGUCAAGAAUAUUUGAAACUUCAGCCAUGUGAUAUUGGUGGUUCAGAAAGAGACAAGUGGAAGUGGUUUGAGAAUUGUAUUGGAGCACUUGAUGGAACUCACAUUCCAGUAAUAGUGUCUGCUGAGGAUAGACCAAGAUAUCGAAAUAGAAAGGUCGAUAUUUCCACCAAUGUUUUAGGAGUUUGUGAUCCAGAUCUAAAAUUCAUCUAUGUACUAUCUAGAUGGGAGGGUUUUAAAUCUGAUUCUCGUGUUCUGAAAGAUGCUUUGGCCAGAGAUAAUUCGUUUCAAGUUCCAAGUGAUAAGUACUAUCUUGUGGAUGCCGGCUAUGCUAAUGGACUUGGUUCUUUAGCACCUGAUCGAGGAACUAGAUAUUACUUAAAUGAAUGGAUUGGAAACAAUCAUCCUGAAAAUUACAAAGAGUUAUUUAACUUGCGUCAUUCAAUUGCAAGGAACGUAAUUGAAAGGUCAUUUGGGUUGUUGAAAAAGCGAUGGAGUAUACUACGUACACCUUCAUUUUUCAACAUAAAAACACAAAUUAGGAUUAUAAAUGCAUGCUUUGUGUUGCAUAACUUCAUUCGAAUCGAGCAACACAAAUCAUUCUACAGUAGAGAGUUGUCAGGUUGAUGAUGUUUCACCCAACUCUAGUUGUCCAAAGAGAAGAAAUCAAAAACCUUCUGAUAUUCCCCCACCCAAAAAAAGAGGUACAACUAAUGUUCUUGCUGAUUCAGUGGCUAAAAUGGCUUCAUCUUUGGAACACUUUAUCAAUUCUACUACACAAAAGCUUGAUCCAACAAAAGUAUAUAAUGAAGUCAUUGCAAUUCCAGAUCUUAGUCCAGAUGAACAACUGAAGGCAUGCUCUUGGUUUAUAGAAAAUGAGAAACAGUUUCUCAUGUUAAAGACAAUUCCAACUAAGAGAAAGAAGGGAAUGGUGUUUAUGUUUAUUUCACCAAAAGCAUAGACACAUUUUAUAUUCAGUUGACAUUUUUAAUGUUUGCUAUUUUGUUGAAACAUUGGUUGGGAUGAUUAUCUUCAUUUUUUUUUA